rnacentral:rRNA from 1 species
UACGAAGGGGGCUAGCGUUGCUCGGAAUCACUGGGCGUAAAGGGUGCGUAGGCGGGUCUUUAAGUCAGGGGGGAAAUCCUGGAGCUCAACUCCAGAACUGCCUUUGAUACUGGGGAUCUUGAGUACGGGAGAGGUGAGUGGAACUGCGAGUGUAGAGGUGAAAUUCGUAGAUAUUCGCAAGAACACCAGUGGCGAAGGCGGCUCACUGGCCCGUAACUGACGCUGAGGCACGAAAGCGUGGGGAGCAAACAGG